GACGAACCGUGCGAACGUUAUUCGGAAUCACUGGGCUUAAAGCGCGUGUAGGCGGAUGGGAACGUCGGUCGUUGAAAUCCCCCGGCUCAACCGGGGAAUGGGCGCCGAAACGACCCGUCUGGAGGGACGUAGGGGGACCUGGAACUUCCGGUGGAGCGGUGAAAUGCGUUGAGAUCGGAAGGAACGCCCGUGGCGAAAGCGAGGUCCUGGACGUCUACUGACGCUGAGACGCGAAAGCGUGGGGAGCAAACAGG
rnacentral:rRNA from 1 species